GGUUCGAUUCUGGCUCAGAUUGAACGCUGGCGGGAUGCUUUACACAUGCAAGUCGAACGGCAGCACGGACUUCGGUCUGGUGGCGAGUGGCGAACGGGUGAGUAAUGUAUCGGAACGUGCCCUAGUAGCGGGGAUAACUACGCGUGUAGCUAAUACCGCAUACGCCCUUCGGGGGAAAGCGGGGGACCUUCGGGCCUCACACUAAUGGAAACGGCCGAUAUCGGAUUAGCUAGUUGGUGGGGUAACGGCUGCAAAGGCGACGAUCCGUAGCUGGUUUGAGAGGACGACCAGCCACACUGGGACUGAGACACGGCCAGACUCCUACGGGAGGCAGCAGUGGGGAAUUUUGGACAAUGGGAAACCCUGAUCCAGCCAUCCCGCGAUGCGAUGAAGGCCUUCGGGUUGUAAAGCACUUUUUUGGCAGGAAAACGGCACGGGAUAAUACCCCGUGCAACUGACGGUACCUGCAGAAUAAGCACCAGCUAACUACGUGCCAGCAGUAGCCGCGGUAAUACGUAGGGUGCAAGCGUUAAUCGGAAUUACUGGGCGUAAAGCGUGCGCAGGCGGUUCGGAAAGAAAGAUGUGAAAUCCCAGAGCUUAACUUUUGGAACUGCGUUUUUAACUACCGAGCUAGAGAGUGUGUCAGAGGGAGGUGGAAUUCCGCGUGUAGCAGUGAAAUGCGUAGAUAUGCGGAGGAACACCGAUGGCGAAGGCAGCCUCCUGGGAUAACACUGACGCUCAUGCACGAAAGCGUGGGGAGCAAACAGGAUUUAGAUACCCACGUAGUCCACGCCCUAAACGAUGUCAACUAGCUGUUGGGGCCUUCGGGCCUUGGUAGCGCAACUAACGCGUGAAGUUGACCGCCUGGGGAGUACGGUCGCAAGAUUAAAACUCAAAGGAAUUGACGAGGGACCCGCACAAACAGUGGAUGAUGUGGAUUAAUUCGAUGCAACGCGAAAAACCUUACCUACCCUUGGCCGACAUGUCUGGAAUCCCGAAGAGAUUUGGGAGUGCUCGCAAGAGAACCGGAACACAGGUGCUGCAUGGCUGUCGUCAGCUCGUGUCUAUUGAAGAUGUUGGGUUAAGUCCCGCAACGAGCGCAGCCCUUGUCAUUAGUUGCUACGAAAGGGCACUCUAAUGAGACUGCCGGUGACAAACCGGAGGAAGGUGGGGAUGACGUCAGAGUCCUCAUGGCCCAUAUGGGUAGGGCUUCACACGUCAUACAAUGGUCGGGACAGAGGGUCGCCAACCCGCGAGGGGGAGCCAAUCCCAGAAACCCGAUCGUAGUCGGAUCUGCAGUCUGCAACUCGACUUCCGUGAAGUCGGAAUCGCUAGUAAUCGCGGAUCAGCAUGUCGCGGUGAAUACGUUCCCGGGUCUUGUACACACCGCCCAAUCACACCAUGGGAGUGGGUUUUACCAGAAGUAGUUAGCCUAACCGUAAGGAGGGCGAUUACCACGGUAGGAUUCAUGACUGGGGUGAAGUCGUAACAGGUAG
rnacentral:rRNA from 1 species